GAAAAAAAGAGGUAUCAGGUUGUUUAAAUGCUUUGGCAGCUUGUCCCCUGGGUCAGCUGAAGCCCUCAUUGCCCGGUUGUUGACUGAGACAGGUUCAGCAGGAGCUCAACGCAUUCCAUCUUCUCUAUGUGUUUAUGUUCCAGCAGGCCGGGCUUUGAGCUGCCAGUGGGUGACUCAGAGGCCAGAGUUUGUUCUGUUCUGUUCUUGCUGAGGCAGCCGGAGUCCCCUCUGCAUGACCCUCCUAAUACCUGUCCCCUAUUGAGGCCACCUUGGCCACUAACUGCUCAGUGGCUCAGUUCAAGAACCCACCUGCAGUGCAGGAGCCGCAGGAGACUCGGGUUCCAUCCCUGGGUCAGGAAGAUCCUCUGGAGGAGGAAAUGGCAACCCACUCCAGUAUUCUUGCCUGGAAAAUCCCAUGGACUGUAGUGGGCUACAGUCCAUGGGGUCACAAAGAGUCAGACUCGACUGAGCACACACGAAAACAUAUGCACACUGCUCUAAGCCCAGUGCAGCUCACCAGCCAACAGAACAGAGGCAAAGGGAGAGUGGUGGGAGGGGAACCUCCAGGUGGGCACCUGCGCACUUGGACAGGAGACCCAAGUGCUCGAGGGAGACGGAGUACUGCUGUGUAACGAACCAGCCCAGACCCUAAUGGCUUAAGAAUAAUCGUGUAUUCUGCCACAAACCUAAGCUGAGCAGGACUCAGCGGGGAUGGCUUCUCUGUGCUCCAUGCGGCCUCUGGGGCAACUCAACUAGAAUCCACUUUCAAGAUGGUGCAUCACGCAGCCAACAAGUUAGCGCUGGCUACCAGCUAGGAGCUUUGAUUCCUCAUCACAAGGACUGCUCACUCCACAGGGCUUUCUGGACUUCACAACCCAGAGGCUGAAUUCCCAGGGCGAGUGCCCCCAGAAUCAGACCAGUGUCUCGAAUCCUGGGCCUGGAACCUGGCCCAGUGUCACAUUCAUUCUAGCCUAUGGGUACGUCAGUCUCAGAACCUCAGAUUUAAGAGGGUACGGACACAGCAUCACAAAAGAACAUUAAAUUCGUAGAGAAGUGACAAGACAAAGGAGAAGUACUCUGAGCUUCUAGGAGUGGCAAAUUGUGGAAAGAUCCUUGCCAAGGGUUGAGCGAUAAUUGAACAUGGCAACAAGUCUGCUUUGAUCUUCAUGAGGAAUUUCAGUGUGGGUAGCACUCAACUGCCUGGUAUUCAUUCUGCUGUGGAUCCAAUUCAAUCCAGUUAUUUCAGUGUACUCAUGAAAUGCCUACUAUGUGCUGGACUCAGCACCUUAGAGACAGACUCAGGAACUGAUCAUCUGUGGACCACCUGUGUGUGCCCUGUAGCCAAAGACCACCAAGAACAAAGUUGGGUUUACUGAUCUUUUGCAGGGAGGGAGGCUGUGUACAUGCAGAUAAGGAGUCAUGGGGCCUCUCAGCACAAGGGACUUAGAACAGAACAUGGACUUGUGUUAAGUGGUGUGUGGGAAGUUUCAAGGAAGCAGGGGUUUGCUCUGGAUCGAAUGGUGUCAGGAAGCAGGAUUCUACCACCAGGAACUUUGGUUUUUAUACAGAAGGUGAGAUGAAGGCAUCAGACCUAAAGCCGUGGUUGUGAAGAGACAGCUGUCACUUGGGUUAGUUGAGUGAUUUCUCUCGUGUGGUCAGAGGCUUAGUUUGUCCCUGUGCUCAGACAUGACUACAGAAUGGUCUUGUUUUGUCAGGCUUGUCUGAAGUUGGUGAUGGGUGAGACUAGCUCUGUUUGAGAGGAGAACGUGGCACCUAGCUCUGAGUGCCUGGCUGGUGGGAGCUUGAUGCCAGGGACUACUUUCGUCUUUGUCAUUACAAACGCAAAGCUUUGAUCCUCCAGUUCCAGUCUUCUUUAUAUCCUAGUCCUGUAUCUUCAUGAUGGGAUAAGGAUCCUCACAUUUGAAGAGGAGGAGGAGGGACGGAUGAGAAUGAGGAGGGGGAUUUGCUUAUGGUGGGGGUGGGGUAAAAUAGUGUCUUAGCUUAGAGGAUUCAUAUCUCUGUAACCUAAAUGGAUCCAGGAUUCCAUUCCUCUGCCUGAAUAGAAUGAUAUUCCAAAGCCAUAUUAAGCAGACAAGGGAAGGAAUUAGGAUAACCUUUGUAUUGUAGGUGCCUUGUGAAUUACUGGAGGAAGUUCCAGGUCGAAGGGUGGGGCAGGCAUAAGAAGUGGCCA
ensembl:lncRNA